CUUAAUGUCCAGAAAUUCAUACUGAUGACAGAGAGAGAGUGAAGACACACUCGAGGCCUGGGAAAAAGAAAGCAUACCAAAUGUAGGAGGUGAAGCAAAUCACACACAUGCAUUUUGUUUUCGCUUAUAGAAAGAACACCCCCUCCUAAACAUGGAGAUUGUUAUAUAGAAUGUCCAAGGCAAAUUAAGGAAAAUAAUUAUUGUAGCUGAUGAAGCAGAAACCCUAUUAGAGUUAAAUGCUACUUCACAGUACUCAGUGGUGGAGGUUCUGAAGAAGUUUCUAGUGUAAAGGAAGCCCUAUGGAUGUUCUGUGAUCACCCACUCUCACAUCCAUAAUGGGUCAAGUGUCCACCUAAGAGAACCAGAGGACCCAGAAGCACAACCCAGAGGUAGAGAGAUAUUUGUAAUCCUUCUGGGUAGUUCAAGGUACUGUCCUCAAAGCAGAAACCAGUGUACAGGAAGAGACAGCAGGU
rnacentral:lncRNA from 1 species